GGAAGGGUGCCGCGGGUGGCCGCAGCGCAAACUUUCCCGGGCGACUGCGGGAGCCACCGCCACGGAGGGCCCAGCGCCCGGAGUGCAGCGUGGCCGGACCGGGCGCCGCGCGGACGCUCGCGGUCCCGCAUCUUGCAGCACAAGGAAUCGCGUGUUGGCUGUGAAUGAGUGGCCAAUAUUUCACAAAGCUUCAAGAUUAAGUUGGAAAGAAGAACAGCGAUUCUUCCAAAUUGAUCUGCUUCGACCAUCAUUCUUACUGGGAAUGGACAAUGGAAUGUUCUCUAGCUUUAUCAUGAUCAAAAACCUCCUUCUCUUUUGUAUUUCCAUGAACUUAUCCAGUCACUUUGG
rnacentral:lncRNA from 1 species